CUAAUCAAAUUCUUUGUAGCUCAAAGUAGUUUAGUGUGUUAAAUUCAGAUUCAUGGAGAGAUUCUAACAGUGGGUUCGAUCUUGAACUCCAUAGUAUCACUUGGGUUGUAGUAAAUCUGAAUGCGCAAAUAUAGGAGUAGAUGCUCUUUCUCGCAGACAACAUUCAACAAGGAUUUCGGCUUUAGUUAUUUCUUGUUUCUAUGGAUUUUGGAAAUUUGCAAGCCUAGUUUUAGUCUGAUCCUCACAUAAAAAAAGUUUUUUUCUAUAAAAGCUGAAGAAGACGUGUACGGUAUUGAGGGGCUGGGGCUUCUUCAUUGUAAGGCAUGUGGAAGCUUAAAAUUUGGCUUUUUGUUGGGCACACAAAUGUACAAAAGAAGAAGAAGCUCUCAAUGGGAAGCGUGUGCUUCAGCUCAAAGCGAAUAUGUUGACCGUUCUAAAGCAACCAAACUAGCUAAAAAUAAAAGCAUAAAUGGAUCUGUACUGUUGUCUGUAUGCUUGUCAUCAAGAAUCAAUCAACAAAUCAAGUUGAGAUAUCAAUGUAUAUCAUGUCCUGUUCAUUUCAACCUUGAUCUAUGAGACGAAAAGAUGGCUUCCAACAUUAAACUCGUUAUUCUUUAGUAGCUCAGUGAUAGAGGUCGAUUAUUAACCGAUUGGAUAUAGCUUUGAAUUCUACUUGGAGAGAUUUUUUUAGUUUGUAUUUUUACGCUUUUACAAUCAUACUAUUUUAUUUAAAAGUGAAAUUAUUUUUUUACUCA